AGUCACUGACAUUAGAUACCCCUGUAGUCCCAGCCGUAAACAAUGUGCGUUAGGUGUGUCGGUAACCACGUGUUACUGAUGCGCCGAAGAGAAAUCGUGAAACGCACCACCUGGGAAGUACGGUCGCAAGGCUGAAACUUAAAGGAAUUGGCGGGGAGCACCACAACAGGUGGAGCCUGCGGUUUAAUUGGAUUCAACGCCGGACAUCUCACCGGAUAAGACAGCUGAAUGAUUGUCAAUCUGAAGGUUUUACAUGACUAGCUG
rnacentral:rRNA from 1 species